rnacentral:rRNA from 1 species
UUGAUCCUGGCUCAGGAUGAACGCUAGGCGGGAGGCUUAACACAUGCAAGCCGAGGGAUAAGCAGUUUUCGGACUGUGGAGACCGGCGGACGGGUGAGUAACAAGUAUGCAACUUGCCCUUGUCAGGGGGAUAGCCCAGGGAAACUUGGAUUAAUACCCCAUAACAAACGAAAUAGCAUUAUUUUGUUUUCAAAGAAUUAUCGGACAAGGAUAGGCAUGCGUCAGAUUAGCUAGUUCCCCCCCCCACCGACUACCCAGGCGAUGAUCUGUAGGGGGACUGAGAGGUUGACCCCCCACACUGGUACUGAGACACGGACCAGACUCCUACGGGAGGCAGCAAGUGAGGAAUAUUGGACAAUGCGUGAGAGCCUGAUCCCAGCCAUCCCGGCGUGCAGGAAGACGGCCCUAUGGGUUGUAAACUGCUUUUAUACAGGAAUAAACCCCCUUACGCGUAGGGUGUUGAAGGACUGUAUGAAUAAGCAUCGGCUAACUCCCGGGCAGCAGCCCCGGUAAU